UACGGGGGGGGCAAGCGUUGUUCGGAAUUACUGGGCGUAAAGGGCUCGUAGGCGGCCAACUAAGUCGGAUGUGAAAUCCCCAGGCUUAACUUGGGAACUGCAUCCGAUACUGGAUGGCUUGAAUCCGGGAGAGGGAUGCGGAAUUCCAGGUGUAGCGGUGAAAUGCGUAGAUAUCUGGAGGAACACCGGUGGCGAAGGCGGCAUCCUGGACCGGUAUUGACGCUGAGGAGCGAAAGCCAGGGGAGCAAACGGG
rnacentral:rRNA from 1 species